GAUGAAGAACGUAGCGAAAUGCGAUAAGUAAUGUGAAUUGCAGAAUUCAGUGAAUCAUCGAAUCUUUGAACGCACAUUGCGCCCCUUGGUAUUCCGAGGGGCAUGCCUGUUCGAGCGUCAUUAUAACCCCUCAAGCUCAGCUUGGUGUUGGGGCCUGCUGCACUGGCAGCCCUUAAAAUCAGUGGCGGCGCCAUCUGGCUCUGAGCGUAGUAAUUCUUCUCGCUAUGGAGUCCUGGUGGAUGCUUGCCAUCAACCCCCAAUUUUUCUAUGGUUGACCUCGGAUCAGGUAGGGAUACCCGCUGAACUUAAGCAUAUCAAUAAGCGGAGGA
rnacentral:misc_RNA from 1 species